rnacentral:rRNA from 1 species
UACGUAGGGGGCGAGCGUUGUCCGGAUUUAUUGGGCGUAAAGAGCUCGUAGGCGGUUCGGCAAGUCGGAUGUGAAAUCUCCACGCUCAACGUGGAGGGGCCAUUCGAUACUGCCGUGACUCGAGUCCGGUAGGGGAGUGUGGAAUUCCCGGUGUAGCGGUGAAAUGCGCAGAGAUCGGGAGGAACACCCGUAGCGAAGGCGGCACUCUGGGCCGUGACUGACGCUGAGGAGCGAAGGCGUGGGGAGCGAACAGG